GACGAACGCUGGCGGCGUGCCUAAUACAUGCAAGUUGAGCGCUGAAGGUUGGUACUUGUACCAACUGGAUGAGCAGCGAACGGGUGAGUAACGCGUGGGGAAUCUGCCUUUGAGCGGGGGACAACAUUUGGAAACGAAUGCUAAUACCGCAUAAAAACUUUAAACACAAGUUUUAAGUUUGAAAGAUGCAAUUGCAUCACUCAAAGAUGAUCCCGCGUUGUAUUAGCUAGUUGGUGAGGUAAAGGCUCACCAAGGCGAUGAUACAUAGCCGACCUGAUAGGGUGAUCGGCCACAUUGGGACUGAGACACGGCCCAAACGCCUACGGGAGGCAGCAGUAGGGGAUCUUCGGCAAUGGACGAAAGUCUGACCGAGCAACGCCGCGGGAGUGGAGAAGGGUUUCGGAUCGGAAAACUCUGUUGGUAGAGAAGAACGUUGGUGGGAGUGGAAAGCUCAUCAAGUGACGGUAACUACCCAGAAAGGGACGGCUAACUACGUG
rnacentral:rRNA from 1 species